UACGUAGGGUGCGAGCGUUAAUCGGAAUUACUGGGCGUAAAGCGUGCGCAGGCGGUUUUGUAAGCCAGAUGUGAAAUCCCCGGGCUUAACCUGGGAAUGGCAUUUGGGACUGCAAGGCUGGAGUACGGCAGAGGGAGGUGGAAUUCCACGUGUAGCAGUGAAAUGCGUAGAGAUGUGGAGGAACACCGAUGGCGAAGGCAGCCUCCUGGGCUAGUACUGACGCUCAUGCACGAAAGCGUGGGGAGCAAACAGG
rnacentral:rRNA from 1 species